AUGGCCAUCUUCGAUGAGUUCUAUGUUGGGUCCAUUGAUCUCGGGCGCCUUAAAUACGACAUGAUCUCGCUUAUCCCCAAGGUCCCUGGGGCGUCUGACAUUCGUCAGUUUCGCCCGAUCACGGUGAUAAACGUGAUCUUCCGUAUUCUGGCGAAAGGGUACGCCAAUAGGGUGACCCUGCUCGCAGACCACAUUACCCACCCCAACCAAUCGGCCUUCAUCCAAGGUCGAUAUAUUCUGGAUGGGGUGCUAGUCCUCCACGAGGUUCUCCAUGAGGUCCGCUCCAAACACCUCAAGGCGGUCUUCCUGAAGAUCGAUUUCCAUAAGGCCUAUGACACCGUUAACUGGCCCUUCAUUCGGGAAGUUCUUCUAAGGAAAGGCUUCGACGACUGCUGGAUCUCCAGGGUGAUGCAGAUGGUCUCCUGUGGUCGCACUGCCGUGAACAUCAAUGGUGAAAUUGUCCCCUACUUCCCCACUCUUUGUGGGGUGAGGCAAGGCGAUCCCUUUUCCCCGUUCCUGUUCAACAUGGUGGUGGAUGCACUGGCGGCCAUCCUGGACAAGGCUAAGGCGGCAGGCCAUAUCCGUGGGCUCGCUCCCCACUUGGCCGGCGGCGUCGGCAUCUCCCUACUCCAGUACGCUGACGACACCAUCAUCAUGGUCGAAGGCUCGGAUGCGGACACCGCCAACCUUAAGUUCCUCCUCCUUUGCUUCCAACAAAUGUCUGGCCUCAAGAUCAACUUCGAUAAGAGUGAUGUGAUGGUGAUGGGCUACUCUCUGGCUGAGGCCCGCGACAUCGCCAACCGCCUGAAUUACCGCCUGGGCACCUUCCCCACCACCUACCUGGGGACGCCCAUUAGUGACUCUCGGCUUACGGUGGCUGAUUUGCGACCGAUGGUGUCCAAGUUGCAGACGCACAUUGAGCCAUGGCAGGGCCGAUAG
rnacentral:rRNA from 1 species